rfam:Schistosoma rodhaini strain Burundi genome assembly, scaffold: SROB_scaffold0005024
CUCCAACUGAAGAAUCCCAAAUAGGACGAAACGCGCAUCCUGGAU